rnacentral:tRNA from 1 species
GGCUGUAGCUCAGUGGCAAAGUGCUUGCCUUGUGUGUGUGUGUGAGGCACUGGGUUCAAUUCUCAGCACCA